AUUGAACGCUGGCGGCAUGCCUUACACAUGCAAGUCGAACGGCAGCACGGGAUCAAUCCUGGUGGCGAGUGGCGAACGGGUGAGUAAUACAUCGGAACGUGCCCAGUCGUGGGGGAUAACGCAGCGAAAGCUGUGCUAAUACCGCAUACGAUCUACGGGUGAAAGCAGGGGACCGCAAGGCCUCGCGCGAAUGGAGCGGCCGAUGUCAGAUUAGGUAGUUGGUGGGGUAAAGGCUCACCAAGCCAACGAUCUGUAGCUGGUCUGAGAGGACGACCAGCCACACUGGGACUGAGACACGGCCCAGACUCCUACGGGAGGCAGCAGUGGGGAAUUUUGGACAAUGGGCGCAAGCCUGAUCCAGCCAUGCCGCGUGCAGGAUGAAGGCCUUCGGGUUGUAAACUGCUUUUGUACGGAACGAAACGGCCUUUUCUAAUAAAGAGGGCUAAUGACGGUACCGUAAGAAUAAGCACCGGCUAACUACGUG
rnacentral:rRNA from 1 species